rnacentral:lncRNA from 1 species
UAGCCUCAGACUUGAAAAUAAGCUCACUAUGUAGGAUAUCACUAAAGAGCUAAAUCGGACAGGUCACACCCACCCGAUGACAAUGCUAAGUGUCUCCAAGAACAUGGGAUAAGGUGGGCAGGCAGGAGCAUAGGUUAGCAGUAGAACACACAUAGAGGUGAACACACACAUGGGCCCUGGCCUGACACCUGCACAUACAUGGGUCCAUUCACGUAGGCACAGAUGUGUAAAUAAGACAAAACCGACAGGUACUGCUCAGCAUCAUGGGACAUCCCUGUAUACCAAUACCCGGUGUUGGAGUCGGGAAAAACCAAAACAACGCAAGCAGUCACAAAAGUCCAGCAAAGCAAGAUCUUUAUUGGAAUUAGGCAACAAAAAUCUGGCCAGUCAGGGACAGCAGCACAUACUCAGACUGUCCAGGCUCAAAAAAUAAGAGCCUUGGCUGUUCUUCCAGAGGACCUGGGUUUGAUUCCCAGGACCUCCAUGGUGCUCACAACUGUUCACAACUCCAGUUCCAGGGAACCAAUGCUGUCUUCUCAGGCACUGCUUGCAUACACAUGGUAAACACACACACGCACACACACACACACACACACACACUCGCCAAAACACUCAUACCCUUAAAAAUAAGUCGCUCAUUUGGUAGAGUGCUUGCUUAGCAUGCAGAAAAUCCCAUGUUCAUUCCCAGAGCAUCUUUAGGAGGUGAAGGCAGGACAAAGAUGUGUUCAAGGUCAUCCUCAACUCUAAUAGGGAGUUAAAAGCUGGCCUGGGAUACAGCAGAGGCUGUCUCAAAAAAUUGCAGCACUUGGGAGUCAAAGGCAGGCAAGAUCUCUGUGAAUCUGAGGGCUGCCUAGUCUACACAGUGAGUUCCAGAACAUCCCAACUGUGCUGAAAGACCCUGUCUUCAAAAUAAAUAAGUAACAAAAUAGUUAAAAGACUUUGUCUAAAACAAAACCGAUCCAGCAAUAUGGUUUUGCUUUUACUAGACAUAUGGAUGUAUUUACAAGGCCAGGUGAAGUCUAGGUGUCAUACAAAGACCUGGAUAACAAUCCAUCCUCCUCAGUUGGCAAGAUGCAGCCAGCCCUGAGCGAUGGAGCUUCUGGUGCCUAGAAAUCUCCCGGAGAACUCGAAGACCCUGUCUGCUGUGGCGUCAGAGGUUUCUGCGCGUGGGAGGAGCCUGGGCACCACACAUGGCAUCUCAGGCCUUCUCAGCUUCCAUUGGCAGGGAAUCAUCAGCUCCGGCUCAGAGCUUUCCUGGCCAAAGCUGUGGGAAGCCACAUGUGCCGUUGCAUAGUGGCACUGACUACUGCUGGCCACCACGCAUAAGUUUGGACAAACAAUCAAUGUGUACAAAUGCAGUAAAGUUUUUUGCAAACACUGCCUGGCCCGGGCAUGAUAAUGAGGC